GUUAAUUCCGCGUGAGGGAUUGAGGCGGCAUCCUUUUGUGAAGCGUAGCGGAACAAAAGAUACUGCUGAAAGCCCCGCCCGAC
rnacentral:sRNA from 1 species